rnacentral:piRNA from 1 species
UGAUCCAACCAUUAUGAGGCCUUACUCUG